GAUGAACGCUGGCGGCGUGCCUAAUACAUGCAAGUCGAGCGAACAGACGAGGAGCUUGCUCCUCUGACGUUAGCGGCGGACGGGUGAGGAACACGUGGAUAACCUACCUAUAAGACUGGGAUAACUUCGGGAAACCGGAGCUAAUACCGGAUAAUAUAUUCAACCUCAUGGUUCAAUAGUGAAAGACGGUUUUGCUGUCACUUCUAGAUGGAUCCGCGCCGAAUUAGCUAGUUGGUAAGGUAACGGUUUACCAAGGCAACGAUGCGUAGCCGACCUGAGAGGGGGAUCGGCCAUACUGGAACUGAGACACGGUCCAGACUCCUACGGGAGGCAGCAGUAGGGAAUCUUCCGCAAUGGGCGAAAGCCGGACGGAGCAACGCCGCGUGAGGGAUGAAGGUCUUCGGAGCGUAAAACUCUGUUAUGAGGGAAGAACAAAUGUGUAAGUAACUAUGCACGUCUUGACGGUACCUAAUCAGAAAGCCACGGCUAACUACGUG
rnacentral:rRNA from 1 species